UUAAUUGAAGAGUUUGAUCAUGGCUCAGAUUGAACGCUGGCGGCAGGCUUAACACAUGCAAGUCGAGCGGUAGCACAGGGGAGCUUGCUCCCUGGGUGACGAGCGGCGGACGGGUGAGUAAUGUCUGGGAAACUGCCUGAUGGAGGGGGAUAACUACUGGAAACGGUAGCUAAUACCGCAUAACGUCGCAAGACCAAAGAGGGGGACCUUCGGGCCUCUUGCCAUCAGAUGUGCCCAGAUGGGAUUAGCUAGUAGGUGGGGUAAUGGCUCACCUAGGCGACGAUCC
rnacentral:rRNA from 1 species